UACUGCAUUGGAUUUAAGUCGAGUACUGUCUUUUUUAAUUUGUUUAUUUUUUCCUAGUUAAUCAUUCAUACUGUCUCAUGUCAUCUCGGAAUUCUCUGGAACUGGAGUUAAUCCUGUGCUUACGACUGGUGGUUCUUCCAUUAAGCUGAAUUUGCAAUGUACCAUCUGUUAAAGGCUUGCAGGUACACUUACCUUUAUUUAUGUGCAUAGUUCCAUUUAAGUCAAUAGGACUACUUCCAGUACAUCAAAUUAAAAUGUUGCCCCACAGAUGGCUGCAUUUGCACAAAAAGCAUAGCAGAAGAUUGAUGUGGCAGCAGAAAAAAAGUGGCAUAGAGAAGGAAGAGAACUGUCUAGAUCAAUUUUGUUGCUGGAGAAAAUGUAGUAUGGAAAUGCAUUCUGACUUGCAACUAAAGAAGAAAGGAUAAAAGCCUUUAAUGAAUUGAAAUAUCUGCAAUACCCAUGGAUAGCAAAACAUUCUUUAGACUGGGCAUACAAAAAUAGGCAAUACUAAUAAAUAUCACUACAUAACUGAUACA
rnacentral:lncRNA from 1 species